rnacentral:rRNA from 1 species
UACGAAGGGGGCUAGCGUUGCUCGGAAUCACUGGGCGUAAAGCGCACGUAGGCGGCUUUCUAAGUCAGGGGUGAAAUCCUGGAGCUCAACUCCAGAACUGCCUUUGAUACUGGAGAGCUAGAGUCCGGAAGAGGUGAGUGGAACUGCGAGUGUAGAGGUGAAAUUCGUAGAUAUUCGCAAGAACACCAGUGGCGAAGGCGGCUCACUGGUCCGGUACUGACGCUGAGGUGCGAAAGCGUGGGGGAGCAAACAGG